GGAGAUCUAGUUAAAAAAUAACCUAAGACUGUCAGCCUUACAUUGCCGGACUACUCGGCGAUCUCCA
rnacentral:tRNA from 1 species